UUUGCGGCUCGUUCAGAAUCGUCUUCCGCUCUUGUUCAGGAAACCUCCGCUGGCCGCCGGGGAGGACGCCCCCGAUGCCUCCGCGGCUCCGCCGAUGCCAGCCAGCCUGCCACGGCCGUUCGCGUGCUUACAUGGGGGCGUACCAGCGGCCGGCGGAUGCACCCGUCCAGCGUCCGGCGCUGCCCGCGAACCUGCUCGCCGGGGCUUCGUCCCCACGUGCCACGGUGAACGAGGAUCAGGAAGGCGGAGCCGAUAAUCGACACUAGCAUUUGGCAGUUAUGAUGGAGUUUCAGGCAGCAAGCCAAGUUAUUGUCUGAUUAGGACCCUGGAUCUGAAGGCGCUGAACGGCCGUAGCCAACUAGCGGUGCAGCAGCAACCCCUCUUUGAUUCAGCAAACACCUGAAGCGUGCCAACCUUGGAGCGACCAUACUUGUGUUCGUUGCAAUCUUCUCAAUUGGUGUCCACAGCCGCUCUUCAAGUCAAUUAGGAAUUUGGUGAGUCAAAGCAACUUGAUGCACAGCCACAGCUGCUGCAGCACGUGGCCAAAUUGUUUGCUGAAUGUCUGAUGCAUCUACUUGUUCACCCCACAUGCAUACCUCACCACCAAGGAUCAACCUCUGCUGUUCUGGCUUGUAGAUGUUUGCCAGUGGUUCAUUCAUGUAGAACCCCUCCCAUGGAGCAUCUAAGUGAUCCAGAUAGCUGAUGGCCACAAUGAGGGAUAUCCGACACCCCUGAAAAAGAGUAUCGCAUCAUUUUCAAAUAUUGACACCUGUUUGGUACAGGAAGAUAAUGUCUUGAAGUAUCUGCAGCAUACAAAGCACAUGCUAGUACUGAUAUUGCUCUUCAUGUUCAGACCGCGUUCAUACAACAAGUCAUCAUUUUCACAAGAAAAAUAAUUGGUUCAUAGAAGCAUUACACAUUUACUUAAGCUUAUUGAACAAAGAAACUGCAAAGAAUGUGCUAACCAAUACUGAAAUUGCUCUUGAUGGCGGCUGCUAAGACAACAAAAAUACCUGAACUAAGUAAUAAGAAUAAAUGGAAAAUAGAUUAUGCCAUCGAGGAAAUGGUAUGUGUAACUGUAUAUUUUUCAAGAGGUGCUAACCUCUACUGCUUUUCAGAUUUAUGCAAUGGUUAUUGUUUAAUUAUUUGAGAAUUUGUAACUUAUGCUGUAACUAAGUGUUGUUUCACUGUAUUCCAGUAGCAUGUCAUGUUGGCCCUUAUGCUGCCUCUGUUUGUAACCACUAUGCAAUGAAACUAUUUAGGACAUGUUUGUGUCAGCUAGACUUUGUGAAAAGCAGCCUGUGGGCUGUGGUAAGGUGGAUUGUAAAAAUGCCUGAAGGUCAAAAGCUAGUAGUUAUUUCGCAACCUUGAUUCUAGCUUAUGGCAUCUUCCUCUCUUUCUUUCCAUUACAUGUGGACCAUGCAGUGCGAGGAGGGAGAAGUGGUAGAGAAUAGGAAAAAAAAACUGUUAUCUUUAUUUGUAGUGGCUUGUUGGGUAAAUAUGUGCGCUACAAUCUGGUAGAAGGCGUUGUUUUUUAGUGGCAUGGUGGGUAAAUUUGUGUGCUCUGGUAGAAGGUGACAGAGAGUGGAUUGUUACAAUCUAGCAAGUUAUAGAGUCUGAGGUUAAAGGUGGUUAUUUGUGAUUAUAAAAAAUGCAAUCCAAAAUCCCCAGCUGAAACAAACAGGCCCAUAAGUGACCUAUCAUGCAUGUUCUAGUUAUUUUUGGUUAUUUAUGUAGAUUGUUUAUACGAGAGCAGAGAGAAAUAGUUUAUGUUUGAAGCAAUGGAAAUGGAGCUACAACGAACAUUUGGAGGUAGCUGUAAGGAGUCCAUUGUUGGAGCUUUUUAGUUUGUACUUGUUAACAAAAUAGGUGCAAAAUUCUGACUAUAGCAUACCAAUAAGAAGCCCUCGGUAAGGAAAUCUGGGUGAGUCCAGGAUACUCCAAGGUGCCGAUCGAAGUAUAAUUUGCCUCGACUCCAAAUCAAAGCUACACAAUUGGCUAAAAGUCUGCAACAACACAUUGACCAUUAAAUGAUCUGGAGGUCAGGAUCCAUGUGUUAUUCUAGGGCCAGUCAAGAUGAUGUGGUGGUGAUAUGAGGCAGCUUCUCAUGUGGAGAUGCUAAAAGCAGCAUGGUCGUUGCUAACCUCAAUUUGAGCAUACAACGGAUGUCCAGUUGAAGGCACGAACAGGCUGUAUGAUUCAUCCACCCCGAAGUUGAGCUGCAGAAGGCCAAUCUUCAGAAUCAAAACGCAUAGCACAAAAUUAACAGGAGUCCUGGUUCCCAUUAGAAGCAGUACGGCCAGUACCUCAUCGUCCCGGGAACGGACAACCACAUUCAUGCCGACGAGCACAGGGCAUGAACACCAUGAGCACCAGCAGCAGCCUCAGAGCUGGCUCCAUCUCUGCAACCUCGCCAAAUGAGGUGUCCCUUCCCUGCAGAACUGGUUGUGUAAACUGGUGCUUCUAAUCUGUUUUUCCAACCAUGUUGGAGGAAAAGCGGCCUUUUGCACUGUCUUGGUGGAGGAGGGGAGAAUAAACAACGCCCCAGGCAAUGAGGUAAGGGAAAAGAGCCCACUAUAUUGCCGGCUUCUGUUGAUGAUCUUUUCGAAGAAAAACAAGGGGAAGAUGAUUAAUCCUGUUCCUACCUUUAUGGACUCUGGCAAAUAAGAGUGCAGAUGCAGAUGAGCAUUGACAAUCCCAACUGCUGCACAAAAAUAAAUGCACUCUUAAGCAUGCAAGAGUGAAUAGGAUGAUCCAAGUUUGGCAUAUAUAGGGAGGGUACUGGUAGAGGCUAGAGAGAUGGCAUGUGAAAGGUGGGGGUGAUACGUUGAAAGGGAGAAGUUCCAAGUGGCUUA